rnacentral:rRNA from 1 species
ACGCUCGACACCUACGGGAGGCGCAGUGGGGAAUAUUGCACAAUGGGGGAAACCCUGAUGCAGCGACGCCGCGUGGAGGAAGAAGGUCUUCGGAUUGUAAACUCCUGUUGUUGGGGAAAAAGAGGAUGGUACCCAACAAGGAAGUGACGGCUAACUACGCGCCAGCAGCCGCGGUAAUCUGAGCGGGCUGGCAAGGC